rnacentral:rRNA from 1 species
AACGAACGCUGGCGGCAGGCUUAACACAUGCAAGUCGAACGCUCGUAGCAAUACGGGAGUGGCGGACGGGUGAGUAACGCGUGGGAACGUGCCCUGAGGUACGGAAUAACUGCGGGAAACUGCAGCUAAUACCGUAUGAGCCCCGUGAGGGGGAAAGAUUUAUCGCCUUAGGAGCGGCCCGCGUCGGAUUAGCUAGUUGGUGGGGUAACGGCUUACCAAGGCUUCGAUCCGUAGCUGGUCUGAGAGGACGAUCAGCCACACUGGGACUGAGACACGGCCCAGACUCCUACGGGAGGCAGCAGUGGGGAAUCUUGCGCAAUGGGGGCAACCCUGACGCAGCCAUGCCGCGUGAAUGAUGAAGGCCUUAGGGUUGUAAAGUUCUUUUGCCCGUGACGAUGAUGACGUAACGGAGAAUAAGCUCGGCUAACUUCGUG